AGGUCAGGGAGGGGCCAGAAACGUCUUCCCGUACCUGGUAUUCAGCUCUCUGAGGGCACUUGAUGGGGUCUGUAGGUACAUGUGUAUAAUGAUGUUUUGUUGAGGGCUGUGUUUGUGAUGUGUGACGUUGAGGUCCUUCAAGUUAUUCUAGGCAGCAAGGCCCCUGAAUGUCAGCUCUUCUCUACACCUUGGGUUACCACGUAAGCAGAAAGGUCAGACUCACACUUAUUCACUACUGAAUAGUGCCCGGGGUUGUGAUGCUUCCCUUUGCCGUCCCCUGCCCAUGGAACUGCAGGAAAGUGGCCAAGGCCCAGGUAACCGCCAGCACAAAUAAUCUGGGGAAACACACGGAACCUGAACACCGGUAGAAAGGAGGGCAGUCCAAAGAUCAGCAAUAGAAACAAGGUUGCAGCCACCAGAACUUCACCAGCAGCCAGAUGCUACAGCAGGUGGUGAUCUCAGCCAGUCCCCCACGUGGGAACCCAGUCUUCUCAGUCCUCAUUCCCUGGGUACCACGUCUUCCUCAGACUUUGUACCUCACUCCAUGCAUUUAGUGCCAAACUGUGGUGAUGCUUCAAAUUGCCGUUUUCAACCAAAACACACCUUCUGAGAGGAGUGCUAGAAGCCUGAGCUCUGACACUAAAGAAUGGGAUUCCAACACCCGCACAUAUAUUUCAGGGAUCAGGUACUUCCAACACUGGCACAGAACGAGGAGCAGGAGGUAUUUGCCAACGUGUGGAACUGGAGUCUGAGGUUCCCUUUCCUCCUCCUCCGUUUGGAAUCUAGGUCCUGUCUCAGCGUGGGCCACUAGAGUGGUGGAGAUAGCUAAAACUGAAACUCUGCAGCCUCCUCCUACAUGUGCCUUUCCCUCAGGAGAAAAGAAAUAGGGAAAGGGAGAGUGGGGAGUCCGGUUUCCCUCAUUCUCAGGUGUCCCUAGCCACAUGCAGCCUCAAAGCUGUUCCCUGAUCUUUCCACUUCAUGGUCCGCUCAAGGCCUGGGAGGGAUCAAUGGGCCGGUCCCACAGGCUCGAAGUUGCCCACCUGCAUCGAUCCAGAUUCCUGCCAGGAGAGACUAACGUCUGUCUCAGGUGGGCAGGUGGAAGGCGGAGUGGGACGUGA